AGGAGACUUCACACAUAAUGAACACUUUGAA
rnacentral:tRNA from 6 species